rnacentral:rRNA from 1 species
AUCAAGUUGGAAAAACAACUUGAAAACAAAAAAGGGGGGUUGGAUUGGAGGGAGAGGCGGGUGCCCUGGUCCCGAUCCCGGGGCUGGGGCU